AUUGAACGCUGGCGGCAGGCUUAACACAUGCAAGUCGAGCGGAGACUUCGGUCUUAGCGGCGAACGGGUGAGUAAUACCUAGGAAUCUGCCUAUUAGUGGGGGAUAACGAAUCGAAAGGUUCGCUAAUACCGCAUACGUCCUACGGGAGAAAGGGGGGGAUCUUCGGACCUCUCGCUAAUAGAUGAGCCUAGGCCGGAUUAGCUAGUUGGUAGGGUAAAGGCCUACCAAGGCGACGAUCUGUAGCUGGUCUGAGAGGAUGGCCAGCCACACUGGAACUGAGACACGGUCCAGACUCCUACGGGAGGCAGCAGUGGGGAAUAUUGGACAAUGGGGGCAACCCUGAUCCAGCCAUGCCGCGUGUGUGAAGAAGGCCUGG
rnacentral:rRNA from 1 species